UUUAACACAUUCAAUGCCACCACGAUUUUCUAAUACUUCCCAGCGAUGCCGCCCUAUAAAAAACGCAAACAUGCUAGGUGUGCUCGCGGCACUGCAGGAUGGAAUUACGUAGCACGCUAGGCGUGUUCACCGGCACUGUUAAGAGGUAAAAUCAAAGAAAGCGUUAUUUCGGCUUCAACCGUGUUUAUUGAUCAGUCUUUCUCGAGUUACUGAAGAGAUAUUUUGUUUUUAGCAGUGUUUGUGCUUUUGAAAGUUAAAUUAUGGCAGUUAGUAGAUUCCAAGGUAAGUAUUUAUCGUAAUUUGAUCAGUGAAUUUCAACCUUUGGUUACUUAUUUAUGAUUUUUUAGGGAAAACAAAAUAUGUGCAAGAAACAGUGGAAUAUGAUGAUGAUGCGACGCAAGCAGAUAGCCCACCCUCACAAAAACGCCCAAAAGUAGGAGAAUACAUCGCGAACGCAUCAAGCUCACCGAACUCAUCGCAAGAUAUAUUUACAGAACUACAAGAUGUACCUUACUCCCAAAAAUGGACAUAUUCGCAACAAAUGGAUGAAUAUGACAAAAAGGAUGUAAACACCAUGACUGACGGAAGACCAACAAUUACUAAAUAUAAAGAAAUUGGUACCAUGACUGAACCAGGGUUGACUUGUAACAACAAUACUAAUAUUGAAAUUCGAUGCAAUGAAUAUUUCGGAAGUGUUGUAGCAUGCGAGCUAGCAAAUUAUCACGGUCGCGUUCGUUACGAUAAAAUGAAAGCUAUCAUUGAUAUUUUUAAAGAAAAGUGAGAAAUUAGUUGCCUUGAUUGUUUAAAAGGUUUCUAUGAUUCUCUUGAGGAAAGAAAUUGAGUUCCUAAGGGUUGUGAUUUCAAUUGAAAUAAUAAUAGUGAUUUGAGAAAUCAACGUCUUUAUUAAAGCACUUAUUGUGUGUACAAUAUUAUAGUUACUACUUAUGUUAAAGAUAAAUGUUAAAAAAUCAACGUAAUUAGACCAACAAUAUUAUACAAUAAUUAUCAAUAGAAA